UCCCUGGUGGUCCAGUGGCUAAGACUCUGCGCUUCCAACGCAGGGGGAUCAGGUUCAACCCCUGGUCAGGGAA